UACGGGGGGAGCAAGCGUUGUUCGGAUUUACUGGGCGUAAAGGGCGCGUAGGCGGCCAGCACAAGUCAGUUGUGAAAUCUCCGAGCUUAACUCGGAAAGGUCAACUGAUACUGUGCGGCUAGAGUGCGGAAGGGGCAACUGGAAUUCUUGGUGUAGCGGUGAAAUGCGCAGAUAUCAGGAGGAACACCAAUUGCGAAGGCAGCUCGCUGGGACGUAACUGACGCUGAGACGCGAAAGCGUGGGGAGCAAACAGG
rnacentral:rRNA from 1 species